UAGGGAAUCUUUGGCACUGGACGAAAGUCUGACCGAGCAACGCCGCGUGAGUGAAGAAGGUUUUCGGAUCGUAAAACUCUGUUGUUAGAGAAGAACAAGGACGUUAGUAAUUGAACGUCCCCUGACGGUAUCUAACCAGAAAGCCACGGCUAACUACGUGCCAGCAGCCGCGGUAAUACGUAGGUGGCAAGCGUUGUCCGGAUUUAUUGGGCGUAAAGCGAGCGCAGUCGGUUUCUUAAGUCUGAUGUGAAAGCCCCCGGCUCAAGCGGGGGGGGUCAUUGGAAACUGGGAGACUUGAGUGCAGAAGAGGAGAGUGAAAUUCCAUGUGUAGGGGUGAAAUGGGUAGAUAGAUGGAGGAACACGAGUGGCGAAGGCGGCUCUCUGGUCUGUAAAUGACGCUGAGGAUCGAAAGCGUGGGGAGCAAACAGG
rnacentral:rRNA from 1 species